AGCAGCCGCGGUAAUUCCAGCUCCAAUAGCGUAUAUUAAAGUUGUUGCAGUUAAAAAGCUCGUAGUUGAAUUUCGGGAUCAGUACGCUGGUCAUGCCUUUGGUAUGCACUGGUGUCACUGGUUUCUCCCUUCUGAAGAACCGUGAUGUCAUUAAUUUGGUGUCGCGGGGAAUCAGGACUGUUACUUUGAAAAAAUUAGAGUGUUUAAAGCAGGCUCACGCUUGAAUACAUUAGCAUGGAAUAAUGAAAUAGGACGUUUGACCCUAUUUUGUUGGUUUCUAGGAUCGACGUAAUGAUUAAUAGGGAUAGUUGGGGGCAUUAGUAUUCAAUUGUCAGAGGUGAAAUUCUUGGAUUUAUUGAAGACUAACUACUGCGAAAGCAUUUGCCAAGGAUGUUUUCAUUAAUCAAGAACGAAAGUUAGGGGAUCGAGGACGAUCAGAUACCGUCGUAGUCUUAACCAUAAACUAUGCCGACUAGGGAUCGGAUGAUGUUAAUUUUAUAAUGACUC
rnacentral:rRNA from 1 species